rnacentral:rRNA from 1 species
UGCGCAGGCGGUUCGGAAAGAAAGAUGUGAAAUCCCAGAGCUUAACUUUGGAACUGCAUUUUUAACUACCGGGCUAGAGUGUGUCAGAGGGAGGUGGAAUUCCGCGUGUAGCAGUGAAAUGCGUAGGUAUGCGGAGGAACACCGAUGGCGAAGGCAGCCUCCUGGGAUAACACUGACGCUCAUGCACGAAAGCGUGGGAGCAAACA